rnacentral:tRNA from 1 species
GGGAGCAUGACUCAGUGGUAGAGCGCAUGCUUAGCAUGCAUGAGGUUCUGGGUUCAAUCCCCAGUACUGCCA